GACGGAGGGGGCUAGCGUUGUUCGGAAUGACUGGGCGUAAAGGGUGCGUAGGCGGUUUUUUAAGUAAGGUGUGAAAGCCCUGGGCUUAACCCAGGAACUGCGCUUUAAACUGGAAAACUUGAGUGUGAGAGAUGAAGGUGGAAUUCCUAGUGUAGGGGUUAAAUCCGUAGAGAUUAGGAAGAAUAUCAGAGGCGAAGGCGGCCUUCUGGAUCACAACUGACGCUGAGGCACGAGAGCGUGGGGAGCAAACAGG
rnacentral:rRNA from 1 species